AGGGCUUCUACAAGGGAGGGAAAUUCGUCUUCAGUUUUAAGGUCGGACAGGGCUACCCCCACGACCCACCGAAGGUGAAGUGUGAGACGAUGGUGUAUCACCCCAACAUCGACCUGGAGGGCAACGUCUGCCUCAACAUCCUCAGAGAGGACUGGAAGCCCGUCCUGACGAUAAACUCCAUCAUCUACGGCCUGCAGUACCUCUUCCUGGUG